GUGCCCUUUUAAGGUUGACGCAAUGCCUUGGAGGCUAACACAGAAGGGUAAAGACAGUCUCCGUAACAUCCAGAGACGAGACUGUGGAACUCCUUUUUGGAUCCUGGCUAGAGUUACAGCU
rnacentral:snoRNA from 1 species